ACACACUAUCAUUAACUGAAUCCAUAGGUUAAUGAGGCGAACCGGGGGAACUGAAACAUCUAAGUACCCCGAGGAAAAGAAAUCAACCGAGAUUCCCCCAGUAGCGGCGAGCGAACGGGGAGGAGCCCAGAGCCUGAAUCAGUGUGUGUGUUAGUGGAAGCGUCUGGAAAGGCGUGCGAUACAGGGUGACAGCCCCGUACACAAAAAUGCACAUAUUGUGAGCUCGAUGAGUAGGGCGGGACACGUGGUAUCCUGUCUGAAUAUGGGGGGACCAUCCUCCAAGGCUAAAUACUCCUGACUGACCGAUAGUGAACCAGUACCGUGAGGGAAAGGCGAAAAGAACCCCGGCGAGGGGAGUGAAAAAGAACCUGAAACCGUGUACGUACAAGCAGUGGGAGCCUCUUAAUGGGGUGACUGCGUACCUUUUGUAUAAUGGGUCAGCGACUUAUAUUCUGUAGCAAGGUUAACCGAAUAGGGGAGCCGAAGGGAAACCGAGUCUUAACUGGGCGUUAAGUUGCAGGGUAUAGACCCGAAACCCGGUGAUCUAGCCAUGGGCAGGUUGAAGGUUGGGUAACACUAACUGGAGGACCGAACCGACUAAUGUUGAAAAAUUAGCGGAUGACUUGUGGCUGGGGGUGAAAGGCCAAUCAAACCGGGAGAUAGCUGGUUCUCCCCGAAAGCUAUUUAGGUAGCGCCUCGUGAAUUCAUCUCCGGGGGUAGAGCACUGUUUCGGCAAGGGGGUCAUCCCGACUUACCAACCCGAUGCAAACUGCGAAUACCGGAGAAUGUUAUCACGGGAGACACACGGCGGGUGCUAACGUCCGUCGUGAAGAGGGAAACAACCCAGACCGCCAGCUAAGGUCCCAAAGUCAUGGUUAAGUGGGAAACGAUGUGGGAAGGCCCAGACAGCCAGGAUGUUGGCUUAGAAGCAGCCAUCAUUUAAAGAAAGCGUAAUAGCUCACUGGUCGAGUCGGCCUGCGCGGAAGAUGUAACGGGGCUAAACCAUGCACCGAAGCUGCGGCAGCGACGCUUAUGCGUUGUUGGGUAGGGGAGCGUUCUGUAAGCCUGUGAAGGUGGCCUGUGAGGGUUGCUGGAGGUAUCAGAAGUGCGAAUGCUGACAUAAGUAACGAUAAAGCGGGUGAAAAGCCCGCUCGCCGGAAGACCAAGGGUUCCUGUCCAACGUUAAUCGGGGCAGGGUGAGUCGACCCCUAAGGCGAGGCCGAAAGGCGUAGUCGAUGGGAAACAGGUUAAUAUUCCUGUACUUGGUGUUACUGCGAAGGGGGGACGGAGAAGGCUAUGUUGGCCGGGCGACGGUUGUCCCGGUUUAAGCGUGUAGGCUGGUUUUCCAGGCAAAUCCGGAAAACCAAGGCUGAGGCGUGAUGACGAGGCACUACGGUGCUGAAGCGACAAAUGCCCUGCUUCCAGGAAAAGCCUCUAAGCAUCAGGUAACAUCAAAUCGUACCCCAAACCGACACAGGUGGUCAGGUAGAGAAUACCAAGGCGCUUGAGAGAACUCGGGUGAAGGAACUAGGCAAAAUGGUGCCGUAACUUCGGGAGAAGGCACGCUGAUAUGUAGGUGAAGCGACUUGCUCGUGGAGCUGAAAUCAGUCGAAGAUACCAGCUGGCUGCAACUGUUUAUUAAAAACACAGCACUGUGCAAACACGAAAGUGGACGUAUACGGUGUGACGCCUGCCCGGUGCCGGAAGGUUAAUUGAUGGGGUUAGCGGUAACGCGAAGCUCUUGAUCGAAGCCCCGGUAAACGGCGGCCGUAACUAUAACGGUCCUAAGGUAGCGAAAUUCCUUGUCGGGUAAGUUCCGACCUGCACGAAUGGCGUAAUGAUGGCCAGGCUGUCUCCACCCGAGACUCAGUGAAAUUGAACUCGCUGUGAAGAUGCAGUGUACCCGCGGCAAGACGGAAAGACCCCGUGAACCUUUACUAUAGCUUGACACUGAACAUUGAGCCUUGAUGUGUAGGAUAGGUGGGAGGCUUUGAAGUGUGGACGCCAGUCUGCAUGGAGCCGACCUUGAAAUACCACCCUUUAAUGUUUGAUGUUCUAACGUUGGCCCGUAAUCCGGGUUGCGGACAGUGUCUGGUGGGUAGUUUGACUGGGGCGGUCUCCUCCUAAAGAGUAACGGAGGAGCACGAAGGUUGGCUAAUCCUGGUCGGACAUCAGGAGGUUAGUGCAAUGGCAUAAGCCAGCUUGACUGCGAGCGUGACGGCGCGAGCAGGUGCGAAAGCAGGUCAUAGUGAUCCGGUGGUUCUGAAUGGAAGGGCCAUCGCUCAACGGAUAAAAGGUACUCCGGGGAUAACAGGCUGAUACCGCCCAAGAGUUCAUAUCGACGGCGGUGUUUGGCACCUCGAUGUCGGCUCAUCACAUCCUGGGGCUGAAGUAGGUCCCAAGGGUAUGGCUGUUCGCCAUUUAAAGUGGUACGCGAGCUGGGUUUAGAACGUCGUGAGACAGUUCGGUCCCUAUCUGCCGUGGGCGCUGGAGAACUGAGGGGGGCUGCUCCUAGUACGAGAGGACCGGAGUGGACGCAUCACUGGUGUUCGGGUUGUCAUGCCAAUGGCACUGCCCGGUAGCUAAAUGCGGAAGAGAUAAGUGCUGAAAGCAUCUAAGCACGAAACUUGCCCCGAGAUGAGUUCUCCCUGAGACUUAGAGUCUCCUGAAGGAACGUUGAAGACGACGACGUUGAUAGGCCGGGUGUGUAAGCGCAGCGAUGCGUUGAGCUAACCGGUACUAAUGAACCGUGAGGCUUAACCU
rnacentral:rRNA from 1 species